UGUGUACAGCCCUGCUUCAUAAGUGG
rnacentral:piRNA from 1 species